rnacentral:rRNA from 3 species
ACGACCAUACCCACUGGAGAACUCGGGAUCCCGUCCGCUCUCCCAUAGAUAAGCCAGUGAGGGCCGGAUUAGUAGUUGGGUCGGUGACGACCAGCGAAUACCUGGUGUUGUAUGUC